AGAGUUUGAUCCUGGCUCAGAUUGAACGCUGGCGGCAUGCUUUACACAUGCAAGUCGAACGGCAGCACGGGGGCAACCCUGGUGGCGAGUGGCGAACGGGUGAGUAAUGUAUCGGAACGUAUCCGGGAGUGGGGGAUAGCUCGGCGAAAGCCGGAUUAAUACCGCAUAUGCCCUGAGGGGGAAAGUGGGGGACCGUAAGGCCUCACGCUUUCGGAGCGGCCGAUAUCGGAUUAGCUAGUUGGUGGGGUAAAGGCCUACCAAGGCGACGAUCCGUAGCGGGUCUGAGAGGAUGAUCCGCCACACUGGGACUGAGACACGGCCCAGACUCCUACGGGAGGCAGCAGUGGGGAAUUUUGGACAAUGGGCGCAAGCCUGAUCCAGCCAUGCCGCGUGAGUGAAGAAGGCCUUCGGGUUGUAAAGCUCUUUCAGCCGGAAAGAAAUCGCCACUUCUAAUACGAG
rnacentral:rRNA from 1 species